ACUCCUACGGGAGGCAGCAGUGGGGAAUAUUGCGCAAUGGGCGGAAGCCUGACGCAGCGACGCCGCGUGGGGAUGACGGCCUUCGGGUUGUAAACCUCUUUCGACCGGGACGAAGCCGUGGUGACGGUACCGGUAGAAGAAGCACCGGCCAACUACGUGCCAGCAGCCGCGGUAACACGUAGGGUGCGAGCGUUGUCCGGAAUUAUUGGGUUUAAAGGGUCCGUAGGCGGGUUAAUAAGUCAGUGGUGAAAUCCCAUCGCUUAACGAUGGAACUGCCAUUGAUACUGUUAGUCUUGAAUGAGGGUGCAGUGGUUGGAAUGUGUAGUGUAGCGGUGAAAUGCAUAGAUAUUACACAGAACACCGAUUGCGAAGGCAGAUCACUAACCCUAAAUUGACGCUGAGGGACGAAAGCGUGGGGAGCGAACAGGAUUAGAUACCCUGGUAGCUACGAGU
rnacentral:rRNA from 1 species